AAUAUUGGACAAUGGGCGGAAGCCUGAUCUAGCCAUGCCGCGUGUGUGAAGAAGGUCUUCGGAUUGUAAAGCACUUUACUUUGGGAGGAAGGGCAGUUAACGAAUACUUAACUGUUUUGACGUUACCAACAGAUUAGGCACCGGCUCACUUCGUGCCAUCAGCCGCGGUAAUACGAAGGGUGCAAGCGUUAAUCGGAAUUAAUGGGCAUAAAGCGCGCGAAGGUGGUUAGUUAAGUUGGAAGUGAAAGCCCCGGGCUCAACCUGGGAAUUGCUUUCAAAACUGGCGAGCUAGAGUACGGUAGAGGGUGGUGGAAUUUCCUGUGUAGCGGUGAAAUGCGUAGAUAUAGGAAGGGACAUCAGUGGCGAAGGCGACCACCUGGACUGAUACUGACACUGAGGUGCGAAAGCGUGGGGAGCAAACAGG
rnacentral:rRNA from 1 species